rnacentral:lncRNA from 1 species
ACCGCUCUAUGAAAGUCACUAGAUAGUUACAAUAUUUCUUCCAUCUUUGAUUUUGUGAGUAGUAGGGGAGAUGUCAGGUAUCUUUUUAGGUUUGCGAAAGAUUGUUGGCAUUCAUCGGAUCAUGAAAAGUCUGUCGUUUGUCAUAAGAUCUUGAAGAAGGAUAGGCAUCUUUCUUCUGACUUCGAGAUGAAUCGGCUAAAUACGACG